rnacentral:misc_RNA from 1 species
UUUGCUGCUGCAACAAGGUAAUAAAUUUAGCUGGCCGGAGCUGUUUUUGGUGCUUCAAUUUUAUUAUGUAGCAUAUCUGCAUUAUGAGAUAUAAUUACAUUCUAUGGCCGGGGGGGAAAUUGUUAUUCUGUGAUUACCUUUUACUUUAUCCAAAAAAAAAAAAAAUACAGAUUGUAUCAGAACACUUGGGAUUGGAUAACUAUCAAUUUUUUAAGAUAGGAUCUGGUAGUUCUUGGUUCAGCAAAUUCAACAAUGGUUUUGACAAUAAACUAAUUAGUUGUUUAUUUUUUUGGGUACUGUUUUAUUCUGUGAUUUCUGUUGUAAUAUCAUCUAUUUGCUUUCUCAAUUAGAUAUUGGAUUCAGGCAGGAAGUUACUUUUUUUUUUUGAAACUUUG